rnacentral:rRNA from 1 species
GGUCAAGCUAAUAAGGGCUUACGGUGGAUACCUAGGCACACAGAGGCGAAGAAGGACGUGGUUACCGACGAUAUACUCCGGGGAGUUGGAAGCAAACUAUGAGCCGGAGGUUUCCGAAUGGGGCAACCCUAAAUACUACCUGUUGAAUAUAUAGACAGGAAAGAGCCAACCCAGCGAACUGAAACAUCUUAGUAGCUGGAGGAAGAGAAAUCAAAAGAGAUUCCCUAAGUAGUGGUGAGCGAAAGGGGAAAAGCCUAAACCAAAGGAUUUAUCCUUUGGGGUAGUGGGACAGCGAUAUCGAAUCUGGCGGUUAGACGAAGCAGCUAAAUACUGCACCAAAGAAGGUGAAAGUCCUGUAGUCGAAAACUCAAGGAUAGUAGCUGAAUCCCGAGUAGCAUGGGGCACGAGGAAUCCCAUGUGAAUCAGCGAGGACCAUCUCGUAAGGCUAAAUACUACUGUGUGACCGAUAGUGAACCAGUACCGCGAGGGAAAGGUGAAAAGAACCCCGGAAGGGGAGUGAAAUAGAACAUGAAACCGUAAGCUUACAAGCAGUGGGAGGACGAUUGAACGUCUGACCGCGUGCCUGUUGAAGAAUGAGCCGGCGACUUAUAGGCACUGGUAGGUUAAGGCGAGAAUGCCGGAGCCAAAGGGAAACCGAGUCUGAAAAGGGCGCUCAAUCAGUGUUUAUAGACCCGAACCCUGGUGAUCUAACCAUGGCCAGGAUGAAGCUUGGGUAACACCAAGUGGAGGUCCGAACCGACUGAUGUUGAAAAAUCAGCGGAUGAGCUGUGGUUAGGGGUGAAAUGCCAAUCGAACCAGGAGCUAGCUGGUUCUCCCCGAAAUGUGUUUAGGCGCAGCGGUAAUGAUUAAAUCUGGGGGGUAAAGCACUGUUUCGGUGCGGGCUGGGAGACCGGUACCAAAUCGAGACAAACUCAGAAUACCCAGAGAACACAUUGCCAGUGAGACAGUGGGGGAUAAGCUUCAUUGUCAAGAGGGAAACAGCCCAGACCACCAGCUAAGGUCCCCAAAUCAUCACUAAGUGAUAAAGGAGGUGGGAUUGCAUAGACAACUAGGAGGUUUGCCUAGAAGCAGCCAACCUNNNNNNNNNNNNNNNNNNNNNNNNNNNNNNNNNNNNNNNNNNNNNNNNNNNNNNNNNNNNNNNNNNNNNNNNNNNNNNNNNNNNNNNNNNNNNNNNNNNNAGGGAACAGCCCAGACCACCAGCUAAGGUCCCCAAAUCAUCACUAAGUGAUAAAGGAGGUGGGAUUGCAUAGACAACUAGGAGGUUUGCCUAGAAGCAGCCAACCUUAAAAGAGUGCGUAAUAGCUCACUAGUCAAGCGAUCCUGCGCCGAAAAUGAACGGGGCUAAGUGAUGUACCGAAGCUGUGGGAUUAAUCUAGUAUUAAUCGGUAGGGGAGCGUUCCGUAUUAGGUAGAAGCAGUAGCGGCGAGCAGCUGUGGACGAAACGGAAGUGAGAAUGUCGGCUUGAGUAGCGCAAACAUUGGUGAGAAUCCAAUGCCCCGAAACCCUAAGGGUUCCUCCGCCAGGUUCGUCCACGGAGGGUUAGUCGGGUCCUAAGGCGAGGUCGAAGGGCGUAGUCGAUGGACACAGGGUGAAUAAUCCCUGACUACUAUGUGGGAGCAUUGCGAGGGACGCAUGAAAGAUAGCCAUACCCUGAUUGGUUUGGGAGGAGUUUACGAACUCCGCGUGGUGAAGGAUAGUGUCAAGAAAAGCUCGUAAUGUGAUGAAAACAUAGUACCCGUACCCGAAACCGACACAGGUAGGGAGGUUGAGAAUACCAAGGGGCGCGAGAUAACUCUCUCUAAGGAACUCGGCAAAAUGGCCCCGUAACUUCGGGAGAAGGGGUGCCCACCUCAGACGUGGGUCGCAGUGAAGAGAUCCAGGCGACUGUUUACCAAAAACACAGGUCUCCGCCAACUCGAAAGAGGACGUAUGGGGGCUGACGCCUGCCCAGUGCCGGAAGGUUAAGGAAGUUGGUCAGGGGUUCGCCUUGAAGCUGACGACCGAAGCCCCGGUGAACGGCGGCCGUAACUAUAACGGUCCUAAGGUAGCGAAAUUCCUUGUCGGGUAAGUUCCGACCCGCACGAAAGGCGUAACGAUCUGGAUGGUGUCUCAGAGAGAGACUCGGCGAAAUAGGAAUGUCUGUGAAGAUACGGACUGCCUGCACCUGGACAGAAAGACCCUAUGAAGCUUUACUGUAGCCUGGAAUUGUGUUCGGGCUUCGCUUGCGCAGGAUAGGUGGGAAGCGAAGAAGUAUCCCUUGUGGGGGAUAUGGAGCUAACGGUGAGAUACCACUCUGGCGAAGCUAGAAUUCUAACCCAUGACCGUAAGCCGGUCAGGGAACAGUUUCAGGUGGGCAGUUUGACUGGGGCGGUCGCCUCCUAAAAAGUAACGGAGGCGCGCAAAGGUUCUCUCAGCACGCUUGGAAACCGUGCGGCGAGUGUAAAGGCAAAAGAGAGCUUGACUGCGAGAGAUACAACUCAAGCAGGGACGAAAGUCGGCCUUAGUGAUCCGACGGCACAGCAUGGAAUGGCCGUCGCUCAACGGAUAAAAGUUACUCUAGGGAUAACAGGCUGAUCUCCCCCAAGAGUCCACAUCGACGGGGAGGUUUGGCACCUCGAUGUCGGCUCAUCGCAACCUGGGGCGGAAGUACGUCCCAAGGGUUGGGCUGUUCGCCCAUUAAAGCGGUACGUGAGCUGGGUUCAGAACGUCGUGAGACAGUUCGGUCCAUAUCCGGUGCAGGCGCAAGAGCAUUGAGAGGAGCCUUCCUUAGUACGAGAGGACCGGGAAGGACGCACCGCUGGUGUACCAGUUAUCGUACCAACGGUAAACGCUGGGUAGCCAAGUGCGGAGCGGAUAACCGCUGAAAGCAUCUAAGUGGGAAGCCCACCUCAAGAUGAGUGCUCUCACUACAUAAGUAGGUAAGGUCACGGGCAGAACACCCGUUUAUAGGCUCUAAGUGGAAGUACAGUAAUGUAUGAAGCUGAGGUGUACUAACAGACCGAGGGCUUGACCUC